AUUGUUUUGAAGGCACAAGUCGUAGCAGGUCGCCGAAAAACCGGCAACUGAACCCUCCCUACGAUAAUGUCUAUGACAAUGUUUACAACAACCUACCAUCUACUCGACGUCAAGCUACAGCAAGCUACCGACAACCGGCGACCCAUUAGGAC